AAUAUAUGGGUAACGUGCCCUAGAGAAGAGGAUAACUCCUGUGAAACGGUUGCUAAGACUCUAUAUGCCUUUAAGACAUAAGUCUGCAAGGGAAAUAUUUAUAGCUCUAGGAUCGGCCUGUACGGUAUCAGCUUGUUGGUGAGGUAAUGGCUCACCAAGGCAAUGACACCUAACUGGUUUGAGAGGAUGAUCAGUCACACUGGAACUGAGACACGGUCCAGACUCCUACGGGAGGCAGCAGUGGGGAAUAUUGCACAAUGGACGAAAACUGAUGCACCAACUCCGCGUGGAGGAUAACACAUUUCGGUGCGUAUACUCCUUUUAUAUAGGAAGAUAAUGACGGUACUAUAUUAAUAAGCGCCGGCUAACUCCGUGCCAUGCAGCCGCGGUAAUUCGGAUGGCGC
rnacentral:rRNA from 1 species